rnacentral:rRNA from 1 species
AGAGAGAGACAUGCGCGCAUAUCAAUAAGCGGAGGAAAAGAAACUAACAAGGAUUCCCCUAGUAACGGCGAGUGAAGCGGGAAGAGCUCAAAUUUGAAAUCUUAAAGGGUUUCCCUUUACGAAUUGUAGUUUAAAGAAGUGUUUUCUGUUGAGGUUUUGGUAAAAGUUCUUUGGAAUAGGACAUCAUAGAGGGUGAGAAUCCCGUAUUUGACCUUUACUUUCAACUUUGUGAUACACUUUCAAAGAGUCGGAUUGUUUGGGAAUGCAGUCCAAAAUGGGUGGUAAAUUUCAUCUAAAGCUAAAUAUUGGCGAGAGACCGAUAGCGAACAAGUACCGUGAGGGAAAGAUGAAAAGAACUUUGAAAAGAGAGUUAAACAGUACGUGAAAUUGUCAAAAGGGAAGCGUUUGACACCAGUGUUGUUUUUCUGAAAAUCAAUUAAAGAACUGUUUAUGCUAAGCUGUUUAGACUUUAUCAGCUAUACUGUUUAGUUUUGAGCUUUUCUUUAAUGCACUUUUCAGUUAACAAGUCAACAUCAAUUUCUUUUGCUGUAAAAAAGCUUGAGGAAGGUGGCUUGAGAUUCGUCUUAAGUGUUUAUAGCCUCUUGCCUAUGCAGUCGGAGAGAUUGAGGUCUGCAGCGUAGAUCCUUCGGGGCUAAAUGCAUUUGUGCUAAGUUAUAACAUUUUAUAGACAACUUGUUGACUAUGAUUUGUCUUGUAGCUUACUCGCUUAUGUUAUUUUACCUACGCUUAGGAUGUUGACGCAUGAGAUAUACGC